rnacentral:rRNA from 1 species
GUCCUAAGGGAAGAAGGAAGUGACGGUACCUUAGGAGGAAGCCCCGGCUAACUACGUGCCAGCAGCCGCGGUAAUACGUAGGGGGCAAGCGUUAUCCGGAAUUAUUGGGCGUAAAGAGUACGUAGGCGGUUCUUUAAGCGCAGGGUUUAAGGCGAUAGCUUAACUAUCGUUCGCCCUGUGAACUGGGGGACUUGAGUAUCGGAGAGGAAAGCGGAAUUCCUAGUGUAGCGGUGAAAUGCGUAGAUAUUAGGAGGAACACCAGUGGCGAAGGCGGCUUUCUGGACGAAAACUGACGCU